UACAGAGGUCCCAAGCGUUGUUCGGAUUCACUGGGCGUAAAGGGUGCGUAGGUGGUGAGGCAAGUUCGGUGUGAAAUCUCCGGGCUCAACCCGGAAAUGGCAUUGAAAACUGCCCUGCUAGAGGGUUGGAAGGGAGACUGGAAUUCUUGGUGUAGCAGUGAAAUGCGUAGAUAUCAAGAGGAACACCAGUGGCGAAGGCGAGUCUCUGGACAACACCUGACACUGAGGCACGAAAGCUAGGGGAGCAAACAGG
rnacentral:rRNA from 1 species